rnacentral:rRNA from 1 species
UUCCGGUUGAUCCUGCCGGAGGCUACCGCUAUUGGAGUUCGAUUAAGCCAUGCGAGUCGAGAGUCUUAGGGACUCGGCGUACCGCUCAGUAACACGUGGGUAACCUGCCCUAUGCUGGGGAAUAACCUCGGGAAACUGAGAAUAAUGCCCCAUAGUCCACCAUGCCUGGAACGGUUGGUGGAUCAAAGCUCCGGCGGCAUAGGAUGGGCCUGCGGCGUAUCAGGUCGUAGGGGGUGUAACGUACCCUCUAGCCAUCGACGCGUACGGGUGUUGGGAGACAUAGCCCGGAGAUGGAUUCUGAGACACGAAUCCAGACCCUACGGGGUGCAGCAGGCGCGAAAACUUGGCAAUGCGAGAAAUCGUGACCAGGGAACUCCAAGUGGCUGGGGUAAGACCCAGUCUUUUCUUGACUCUUCAACGGUCUUGGAAUAAGGGGUGGGUAAGGACGGUGCCAGCCGCCGCGGUAAUACCGGCGCCUCAAGUGGUAGUCGAUUUUAUUGGGCCUAAAACGUCCGUAGCCUGUUUGGUACAUUCGUGGGUAAAUCAACCAGCUCAACUGAUUGAAUUCUGCGAGCACGGCCAGACUUGGGACCGGGAGAGGUGUGGGGUACGCUCAGGGUAGGGGU